rnacentral:rRNA from 1 species
AGAAUCAACGCUGGCGGCGUGCCUAACACAUGCAAGUCGCACGAGAAAGGGGAGCAAUCCCUGAGUACAGUGGCGCACGGGUGAGUAACACGUGAAUAAUCUACCUCCGAGUGGGGAAUAACUGAGAGAAAUCUUAGCUAAUACCGCAUAAUACCCACGGGUCAAAGCAGCAAUGCGCUUGGAGAGGAGUUCGCGGCAGAUUAGUUAGUUGGCGGGGUAAUGGCCCACAAGACGAUGAUCUGUA